rnacentral:rRNA from 1 species
UACGGAGGAUGCGAGCGUUAUCCGGAUUUAUUGGGUUUAAAGGGUGCGUAGGCGGGAUGCCAAGUCAGCGGUAAAAAUGCGGUGCUCAACGCCGUCGAGCCGUUGAAACUGGCGUUCUUGAGCGGGCGAGAAGUAUGCGGAAUGCGUGGUGUAGCGGUGAAAUGCAUAGAUAUCACGCAGAACUCCGAUUGCGAAGGCGGCAUACCGGCGCCCUACUGACGCUGAGGCACGAAAGCGUGGGUAUCGAACAGG